UACCAUGACGGUACCGUCGCUUAAGCGUUUGUUCGUUUUUAUAGGUUCAAAUAAGGAAUGUAUGAAUAGAAUUUUGGGUUGAAAUGUUUUGCUAACUGCCCAGUAAUUGGUAGAAUUCUCAGAUUUCUCUGAGGUUAUAAUAAGUUAUGAAAAGAAAAAAAAAAUAUUUCCAAAUAUUUUUGGAGUCAGUCGGUUAUUUUGGUUGGUAGGAUUAAGUGAAGUUUCCAAAUAUUUUUGGAGUUAAUUGGAGUCUUAGUUAGUUAGAAGUAGGUUAGCAAAAAUAUAUGGGAGUUGGCAAAACAUAGGUUUGAUACUGGAUUAGAAUUAUGAAUGGAAUUUAUUGUAAAGAGAUUAAGACACAGAACAAAAUUGUAGGAAUAAGUUUGUUUUAGAAUACAAGUAAAUGAAUCCAAGCAUAUAUUAAUUUAAAUAAUAUAAAAAACUAUGUAUAAUAAAAAUUUUGAAAUAGAAAUUUCAAAAUUUUUAUUUUUGUUAGCAUGGACGAGAAUGUAAUGCUAUAAUAAUUCAUGUUCCAAUUUGUACACCACUUUAAUAUUAUUUGCCAAGACUAAUUCUCAAUCUCGUUUUGUGCAUUGGAAAAGAACCAACAGAGCGAAAAGCUUAUCAUGAGCACAAACCCUUAGGCACUCUUCUUUACUCGAUGGAUCGCUUCUGAUCGUUUUCGGUAAAAUCAGUUUUAAAUAUUUUUUGCUCCACUCUCUCUCUCUUGAGUUCCAAGAUGAUGAGCGCCUACCUGAUAUUUGCAUAUUGCGCUUCUAAUUUCUGCAUAGGGAAUGCUGGGUUAGUAGCUGCUAUUGAACGUUAAACCUAUAGAAAUUCUUUGUUCAAAUUUAUUGCGCAGUAGAGUUUUAAACAAUGACUAGGGCGAUGAGUCCUCUGAAAGAAGAACAUCACUUGAGUCUUGAUCUACGAUCAGUGCGGAUGUGCCUAACUGAAAGUUAAUACGACGCUAGUGGAAGUUAUUAAGAAUUCGAUAGUGAUAAUUUGAGAACGUUAUUAAUCCGGAAGUGCGAAGAUUACACAAAUUAAGAAUCGAAUAGUGAGCCUUCCGAGAUUGUUAUCACACCUGAUUGUGUGCUGUAAUUAAUUUACUGUGGUAAAUUUUGAGGAAUAACCCUACAACGUGGGGUUUUUGUUUGGGCUCGGACCAUUGACAACCGCCAACUGUCGUCGACCACGUGCAACUAGUCCAGGCGUAUCCCGAUGCGCCGCUGCGGUGGCUCGUGAGUACUCACUGCAGUGUCGUUCUAUCCCAGAAUCCGACCGAGUGCUAGAACGCAACCAAACUGCUCGAUAUCCGCCGAGGACUCAAUUUUGAAUUUCGGUGUCAAGCCAAAACGAUCACCGACCAGCACCCGACGUCCCUACAGUGGUGCUAGGCGUCGUCAUCCCGAGGCGCAAGAGAGCUUUGGACACGCGUCGUGAGAGUACUUUGCGGUCGCUGGACAAAUCCAACCAAACGAAAGUGGUAAGUUGCACCCAACUACGUUGGUCGAAUCACCCCUCGGUCACGCGGAGAGCCUGAGCACGAGAGCGAAGAGCAUCGAGGUGAAGCCACGUCGGGGCCCCGAUCAACGCGUCGUUGGAACCUGCCGGCAAGUACUUGCAUGCAUGAAGAGAGAAGAGUAGCUUUAAGAUAGGUAGCCUAGGGAGAUCGAUUGUGCAAGGAAUAUUGGAACAAUAAAGCUAUUUUUAAACCUUGCACUGGUUCCUACAUAGGCACAGCUAGGCGAUAUUUUGCGCUGAUUUGAAAUCUCUACUGAAGUGAUUUGAAAUCGGUUUUUUUUUCGUAACUUUUAGCUCCAUAUUUUAUGAAUUGAGGGGGCCAAAGGCCAAAGAGUUUUUUGAGGUUUACACGGGAGGGAUUCGAAAGGUAAGUCGAGUCGUCAUUUGGUAGCCAAGAAUAGCUGGUGUGUUUGAGCAACUAUUAAAACUCGCCCUAGAAGAGGGUCUCAAAGCCGGGACCCAAACAGCAUCAGCAGCCUUCCUCGUUGGGGAAGUGGCGCUUAAGCUGCUGUUUGUGAUAAGCUCGAGCAGAUUCGU